rnacentral:lncRNA from 1 species
GAUCCCAAAACGCGGAGCUUGAAUUACUGUGGGCAUAUCUACACACCAAUAUCCUGUAAAAUACGGAUGACCCUGAAAAUGAUAACAGUGAAUUACCCACCGCAAAGGAGUAUUUCCGAGAUCUCUACCACCGCGUUGAUGUCAUUUUCUGUGAUAAAACAAUCCCUAAUGAUCCUGGAUUUGUGGUUACGUUAUCAAAUAGAAUGAAUUAUUUUCAGGUUGCAAAGACAGUUGCACAGAGGCUCAACACAGAUCCAAUGUUGCUGCAGUUUUUCAAGUCUCAAGGUUAUAGGGAUGGCCCAGGUAAUCCUCUUAGACAUAAUUAUGAAGGU